rnacentral:tRNA from 2 species
GGGGGCGUAGCUCAAUGGCUAGAGCAAAGACCUGUCGAGUCUGAGGUUGCGAGUUCAAAUCUCGUCGCUCCCG